CCUCCUGUAGCUCAGCUGGAAGAGCAUCAGACUGUAAUUCAACCUUGUCAUCUGGGGGUCCCCAGUUCGAUCCUGGGCGGGAGGA